rnacentral:rRNA from 1 species
GAAUGAUGGGAAUGUAAAACCCUUCCAGAGUAACAAUUGGAGGGCAAGUCUGGUGCCAGCAGCCGCGGUAAUUCCAGCUCCAAUAGUGUAUAUUAGAGUUGUUGCAGUUAAAAAGCUCGUAGUUGGAUUUCUGCUGUGGUCAUCCGGUACCGCCCGUAUGGGUGCGCACCUGGUUUGGCUCCGGCUUUCUUCCUGUAGCCGUCCGCGCUUAAUUGCGUGUGCUGUGUUACGGAACUUUUACUUUGAGAAAAAUAGAGUGUUUCAAGCAGGCUUGUCGCCCUGAAUACUUCAGCAUGGAAUAAUAGGAUAGGACCUUGGUUCUAUUUUGUUGGUUUCUAGGACCAAGGUAAUGAUUAAUAGGGACAUGGGGGGGCAU